AAGAGUUGUUGGUAGCUUGCUACCUCCUCUCCACCCUUUGUUUAUCAUACCUUUGUUGCUUUGGCAGGUCCGUCGCAAGACCACCGGCUGCACAGCUGGUCAGUACCUGCCAAGGGCCUUUUAAACUCUGUUUAAUUAUGUCGUCUGAAUUACAAUAAAAUUGUUA
rnacentral:misc_RNA from 1 species